rnacentral:rRNA from 1 species
ACUCAAAGGAAUAGACGGGGGCCCGCACAAGCGGUGGAGCAUGUGGUUUAAUUCGACGCAACGCGAAGAACCUUACCUGGGUUUGAACUUCAGGGGACAGAGGGUGAAAGCCCUUCUUCCUUCGGGACCCCUGGAGAGGUGCUGCAUGGCUGUCGUCAGCUCGUGUCGUGAGAUGUUGGGUUAAGUCCCGUAACGAGCGCAACCCCUACCCUUAGUUGCCAGCGGGUUAAGCCGGGAACUCUAAGGGAACCGCCGGUGAUAAACCGGAGGAAGGUGGGGAUGACGUCAAGUCCUCAUGGCCUUUAUGCCCAGGGCCACACACGUGCUACAAUGGAUGGUACAAAGGGCUGCUAAGCCGUAAGGUGGAGCUAAUCCCAAAAAGCCAUUCUCAGUUCGGAUUGGGGGCUGCAACUCGCCCCCAUGAAGGUGGAAUCGCUAGUAAUCCCGGAUCAGCAUGCCGGGGUGAAUACGUUCCCGGGCCUUGUACACACCGCCCGU